UACGUAGGGGGCAAGCGUUGUCCGGAAUCAUUGGGCGUAAAGAGCGUGUAGGCGGCCCGAUAAGUCCGCUGUGAAAGUCCAGGGCUCAACCCUGGGAUGCCGGUGGAUACUGUCGGGCUCGAGUCCGGAAGAGGCGAGUGGAACUCCUGGUGUAGCGGUGGAAUGCGCAGAUAUCAGGAAGAACACCAACGGCGAAGGCAGCUCGCUGGGACGGUACUGACGCUGAGACGCGAAAGCGUGGGGAGCGAACAGG
rnacentral:rRNA from 1 species